GAUGAACGCUGGCGGCGUGCCUAAUACAUGCAAGUCGAGCGAACAGACGAGGGGCUUGCUCCUCUGACGUUAGCGGCGGACGGGUGAGUAACACGUGGAUAACCUACCUAUAACACUGGGAUAACUUCGGGAAACCGGAGCUAAUACCGGAUAAUAUAUUGAACCGCAUGGUUCAAUAGUGAAAGACGGUUUUGCUGUCACUUAUAGAUGGAUCCGCGCCGCAUUAGCUAGUUGGUAAGGUAACGGCUUACCAAGGCAACGAUGCGUAGCCGACCUGAGAGGGUGAUCGGCCACACUGGAACUGAGACACGGUCCAGACUCCUACGGGAGGCAGCAGUAGGGAAUCUUCCGCAAUGGGCGAAAGCUUGACGGAGCAACGCCGCGUGAGUGAUGAAGGUCUUCGGAUCGUAAAACUCUGUUAUUAGGGAAGAACAAAUGUGUAAGUAACUAUGCACGUCUUGACGGUACCUAAUCAGAAAGCCACGGCUAACUACGUG
rnacentral:rRNA from 1 species